rnacentral:rRNA from 1 species
GACGAACGCUGGCGGCGUGCCUAAUACAUGCAAGUCGAGCGAACAGACCAGGAGCUUGCUCGUCUGACGUUAGCGGCGGACGGGAGAGUAACAUGUGUAUACUCUACCUAUCAGACUGGGAUAAUUACGGGAAACCGGAUCUUAUACCGGAUAAUAUAUUGAACCGCAUGGUUCAAUAGUUAAAUUCGGUUUUUCUGUCACUAAUAGCUGGAUCCGCGCCUGAUUAGCUAGUUGGUAAGGUAACGGCUUACCAAGGCAAGGAUGCGUAGCCGACCUGAGAGAGUGAUCGGCCACACGGGAGCUGAGACACGGUCCAGACUCCUACGGGAGGCAGCAGUAGGGAAUCUUACGCAAUGGGCGAGAGCCUGACGGAGCAACGCGGCGUGAGUGAUGAAGGUCUUCGGAGCGUAAAACUCUGUUAUUAGGGAAGAACAAAUGUGUAAUUAACUGUGCAGGUCUUGACGGUACCGAAUCAGAAAGCCACGGCUAACUACGUG